CCCUUAGAUGUCCUGGGCCGCACGCGCGUUACACUGAUGCAUUCAACGAGCUUAUAACCUUGGCCGAGAGGCCUGGGCAAUCUUGUUAACGUGCAUCGUGAUAGGGAUAGAUUAUUGAAAUUAUUAAUCUUGAACGAGGAAUUCCUAGUAAACGCAGAUCAUCAAUCUGCAUUGAUUACGUCCCUGCCCUUUGUACACACCGCCCGUCGCACCUACCGAUUGGAUGGUCCGGUGAAGCCUCGGGAUUGUGGUUCUUGCCGCUUUAUUGUGGCGUGACCGCGAGAACUUGUCUAAACCCUAUCAUCUAGAGGAAGGUGAAGUCGUAACA
rnacentral:rRNA from 1 species